UAACACCCCAUCAGGCCACGCGUGCACCUCCACCCCAUUCGUCUCCACCGCUAGGAUAUCCCUAUCCAUUCGUCUCCACCGAGAUGCAUCUGCAUCCAGCUCCAUUGUCUCUCGCUCAAUCUCUCGUUCCCGUGCUUCCACCGAAUGCAGGUGCCCGGAUGUGAAGUCGCUGGCGCCCCGCGUUCCACCGGAGUGCCGCUGCUGUCUCCCCCCGUUCCACCGGAGGAGUGAGCGCCGCUGCCGGAUCCCGUCCCCUCCCCCUCCCUCCCCUCCCCCCCGUUCCACCGGAGGAGGAGUGAGCGCCGCUGCCGGAUCCCCUCCCCUCCCCUCCCCUCCUAUGAGUGUCUGUCUCUUUCUCAUUUCCUCAUCGUUCUUGCAGGCUAAUGAGUCGCUGGCACCCCAUUCCAGACCACCACCACCAGAUCCGGAGUGCCGCCGCCGGAUCCUGUCCCCGUCAGGCCUGCAUCAACGACCGCCGCACGAACCCUUCGUCCCCGUCAACGACUCCCGGCAAGAACCGGGACAGCGUCGCGCGCCCAUCCCCGUCUCGAACGCUCCAGUGCCGUUGCGGUCCGUGCUGUCGUAAUUUCAUUAUCAUUCAAAAUAUAUUAUGAUGCGAAUAUGUGUGGAUUUGACCACUUCGUUGCCUUCUCGUCAUGUUGGGUUGCCUCUGAUUCUCAUGUCUGGUGAGAAUUUUCUGUAAGUGAUGGUCAGGAUUUUGUUGUCUCGCUCGUGGAUCCCUCAUCGCUGCUCAUUGUUCUCUCCCAUGUAUUGGCAGCCUGUUUGUUUAUUUUCGAGGAGGCUGAUUGAUAUUACGGAUAAUUUGCAAUUGUAUAAAAAUUGAUGAGAAUCAGUUUAAGGGAGCGAGGUGGGAGAAAAAAUCGAACGUAAUCAACGCGAGUUUGCGUGCGUGCGUGAUGGCUGGACGAGCAGAAACUCUAUUGUUUCUAAUGUAGGAUAGGACGUGACUGCGGGUUGAAUAUUUAAAAAGGCAGGGUCAUGUUUGUAAAAACGAAACGUUUUCUUAGAUAGAUCCACUUAAAUAGGGACUGCGGGUUGAAUACCCAAAAUCACAGGGGCUUUUUUGCAAAAACGCAGCGACGACGACGGACGACCAGAAACCCGAU
rnacentral:lncRNA from 1 species